UCCAUUUUGGAAGUGUGCGAAUACGACAGGUUGGAAAUGACCAACCACUAAUGUCUAAAGUUUUCCCUCUACUGCUUCCUAAGGUUAAAGAGUCAGGCAGAUCUCGAGGAACAGUGAGGUGAAGGAAGAAAGAUGAAAGACAAGGACUCUAAAAGUGAAUUUCAUAGUUUCAAGUCUUCCAAAGCUCUUCUAGUCGAGAUCUGGUCUUCCUAACCAGGCUGCAGUUUUGUCAUCUACCACAUUGUCAAUGGCUACUAUCAUCAGCAACAUGGAAAUGAGACACACUCCUUCCCAGCAGCACAGACUGCUAUACAAGCAGGCUGAUGCCUUCUAAAUGUUUCCAAGCUAGAAAGCGAUAAAGAAAAAAAAUAUAAAAGUGUGAGCUACAUUUUGAGAACAAGCAUUUCUAAUUCAGAGAGCUUACUCUGUACUCACCACAUGGAAUGCCUCUGGAGAAUGCUGAAAACUGAGCAGCAUAUGAGAGAGGACUGCAAGAGCACCAGGUCUCACAAGAGGAAACCAAAGUCGAUUAAAAACCUGUGGAAGGAGACACCACCCUCAGAGUUCACAGCUAAGGAUUUAUUAACCCUUCCCUACAGCCGAGAGCUCUUUACUCAAUGUCCCUUGUCCUUGAAAGCCCCAUCAUAACAUGUUAUUAGAAGAACAUGAAGUAACAACAGGA